rnacentral:rRNA from 64 species
UAGCGCGGUGGUCCCACCUGACCCCAUGCCGAACUCAGAAGUGAAACGCCGUAGCGCCGAUGGUAGUGUGGGGUCUCCCCAUGCGAGAGUAGGGA